rnacentral:rRNA from 1 species
UUUUAUUUGAGAGUUUGAUCCUGGCUCAGGAUGAACGCUGGCGGCGUGCCUAACACAUGCAAGUCGAACGAAGC